AACGAACGCUGGCGGCAUGCCUAACACAUGCAAGUCGAACGAGACCUUCGGGUCUAGUGGCGCACGGGUGCGUAACGCGUGGGAACCUGCCCUUAGGUUCGGAAUACCUCCCCGAAAGGGGUGCUAAUACCGGAUAAUGUCUUCGGACCAAAGAUUUAUCGCCUUUGGAUGGGCCCGCGUUGGAUUAGCUAGUUGGUAGGGUAAAAGCCUACCAAGGCGACGAUCCAUAGCUGGUCUGAGAGGAUGACCAGCCACACUGGGACUGAGACACGGCCCAGACUCCUACGGGAGGAAGCAGUGGGGAAUAUUGGACAAUGGGCGAAAGCCUGAGCCAGCAAUGCCGCGUGAGUGAUGAAGGCCUUAGGGUUGUAAAGCUCUUUUAACCGGGAUGAUAAUGACAGUACCGGGAGAAUAAGCUCCGGCUAACUCCGUG
rnacentral:rRNA from 1 species